CCCUGGCUGGGUGUGGCUGACCCACUUCUGAUUCCCGCCAACUCACCUCCGCAGCUGCUGCUCAUCAUCCUGAUUACACUACUCACCUUCACCUGCUUAUAUGCCCGGUCCUCUCAUCCAAUAUUCACCAGUUCGUCGUUUCACCUCGCUGAAUCCAUCUGCCUACUCCUCUGCCUGCCACAUCCAGCCACGUACCUCUCGUCUGAGUAUCUCCGUGCUUCCACGCACACCGGCUCCAACCUGUCAACUAUCGCCAGCUCUGGAUCAGCGGCUUUCCUCGCCAGUGUACCUUCGUGCUUCCACGCACACCAGCUCCUUCCUGUCGACUCUCACCAGCUCUGGUCCCCCGGCUCUCCUCGCCAGAGUAUCUCCGUGCAUAUCCGCACCACCUCAGUUAACAAACCCUGGCUUUGGGUUUAUUGGAUAUUUAAUCCCUCGUCUGACUCUAUAUAAGGUUUUUGGUUAAUAAACCUUUUUCUACCUCAAAA